rnacentral:rRNA from 1 species
AGUGAACGCUGGCGGUAGGCCUAACACAUGCAAGUCGAACGGCAGCACAGUAAUAGCUUGCGGUUACGGGUGGCGAGAGGCGGAGGGGUUCGGGAUACAUCCGUAUCUACUUUUUCGUGGGGGCUAACGGAGGGGACCUUACGCUAAUACCGCAUACGCCCUACGGGUGAAAGCAGGGGGUCUUCGGACCUUGCGCGAUUGAAUGAGCCGAUGUGGGAUUAGCUAGUUGGCGGGGUAAAGGCCCACCAAGGCGACGCUCCGUAGCUGGUCUGAGAGGAUGAUCAGCCACCCUGGAACUGAGACACGGUCCAGACUCCUACGGGAGGCAGCAGUGGGGAAUAUUGGACAAUGGGCGGAAGCCUGAUCCAGCCAUACCGCGUGGGUGAAGAAGGCCUUCGGGUUGUAAAGCCCUUUUGUUGGGAAAGAAAAGCAGCAGGUUAAUACCCCGCUGUUCUGACGGUACCCAAAGAAUAAGCACCGGCUAACUUCGUG